UGUAAUGCUGCGCAAGAAGGUACACAUACUCGGGCCAGGCCAUGAGCCGACUCACUAUGAUGAAGCCUGACGCUAAGUUGGAUCACACUGGGGCUUCAAUGAUAUGCUCUGCCCGGUGGCCUCCAGGAUCAGCCUCGACUCAUGAAGAACACCCAAUGGACCUGACUUAAUGAUGAGGAUGAUGUUGGAGGAAUCGGAGUGGUCACUGAAGAUCGUGGACUCGCAUCCGCCAUUGCUGGAAGUUUGAACUUCGAGAGGGCAGAGCGAUCCCGUAUGAGAAGACCACCGAUGUGAUCAUAGCAUUUUCUCUGGGCGUACCUUCUGGCACGACACCGCCAUCCGACACAAGUUUGGCCGGCGAAGCAGCUCUGCUUGCUCCGGCACUUACUUUGACGCCUCCGGUGGCUGUUGGUCCUCUUCUCUGCUCUCUCUCAAGCUCUAUGACACUUGAUACUU